rnacentral:misc_RNA from 1 species
GUUUGAUUAUAAAAUCCACAGCUUUAAUUGUCAAUUUUUGUCAAUCCAAACUCCGCAAAAAAAUCCUCUGCUUUCGGCCCCCUGAAUUUAUGUCGCUGGGCUCAAAUCGCAAAAUAACUACCACUACAAAACAGAGCUAUGUUUCGGUUUUUCAGUUAUUUCAGUUUCCUCUACUUCUCCUUCCUCUGCCUUUCCCGCCCUUCCUUUCCCGCCAGAUUUAUACCGGACUCUAUAACCGGCAUAACCACCGAUCCCCACAACGUCACCGACAAUCACAACGUCACCUGGCAUGAUUUCGGUCGCUUCCUAGACGCCGGGAAGGGCAGUCAGGUCAGUGGUAUGUCAGAGCUCAAGAAAUAUCUGUACCGUUUCGGGUACCUCCCCAGCACCAACAAUUUCACCGAUAUAUUUGAUACCGAAUUAGAAUCCGCAGUUAAAGCCUAUCAAUCCAGUCUGGGUUUAGCUGUGACGGGGAAGCUUGACUCGAAUACCAUCUCAACAAUCAUGUCACCAAGAUGCGGUGUUAGCGACACAGCCCAUGAUCACACAAGCGAUAAAUUGCAUGUAACCCGACAUUUCGCGUAUUUUUACGGGAAGCCCAGGUGGGUAAAGGAGUCACCGAUGACGCUAACGUAUGCCUUUUCAGCUAAUAACACUAUUGAUUACAUAAGUUUAGAGGAUAUAAAGAGGGUUUUUAAGCGAGCUUUUUCAAGAUGGGCAUUAGUUAUUCCAGUUGACUUCACGGAAGUGGAAGAUUACCAAUCAGCGAAUAUUCGAAUCGGGUGGUACCACCGAGAUCACGGGGACGGAGAGCCGUUCGAUGGAGUGCUUGGGGUAUUGGCGCAUGGUUUCUCUCCAGAGAACGGGAUGCUUCAUCUUGAUGCAGCUGAAACGUGGAGCGUUGAUUUCGAGACGGU